rnacentral:rRNA from 1 species
CGGGGGGUCCGUAGCGUUGUUCGGAAUCAUUGGGCGUAAAGCGUGUGCAGGUGGUUUGGUAAGUUGGAUGUGAAAGCCCCGGGCUUAACCCGGGAAGUGCAUUCAAAACUACCUAACUUGAGUAUGGAAGAGGUUCGUGGAAUUCCUGGUGUAGUGGUGAAAUACGUAGAUAUCAGGAGGAACACCGGCGGCGAAGGCGGCGAACUGGUCCUAUACUGACACUCAUACACGAAAGCGUGGGUAGCAAACAGGAUUAGAUACCCUGGUAGUCCACGCUGUAAACGAUGGAUACUUGGUGUUGAAGGUAUUGACCCCUUCAGUGCCGGAGCUAACGCGUUAAGUAUCCCGCCUGGGGAGUACGGUCGCAAGAUUA